rnacentral:rRNA from 1 species
AACCUCCGCAAUGUGAGAAAUCGCGACGGGGGGAUCCCAAGUGCCAUUCUUAACGGGAUGGCUUUUCAUUAGUGUAAAGAGCUUUUGGAAUAAGGGCUGGGCAAGACCGGUGCCAGUCGCCGCGGUAACACCGGCAGCUCUAGUGGUAGCAGUUUUUAUUGGGCCUAAAGCGUCCGUGGCCGGUUUAAUAAGUCUCUGGUGAAAUCCUGUAGCUUAACUGUGGGAAUUGCUGGAGAUACUAUUAGACUUGAGACCGGGAGAGGUUAGAGGUACUCCCAGGGUAGAGGUGAAAUUCUGUAAUCCUGGGAGGACCGCCUGUUGCGAAGGCGUCUAACUGGAACGGUUCUGACGGUGAGGGACGAAAGUUAGGGGCGCGAACCGGAUUAGAUACCCGGGUAGUCCUAACUGUAAACGAUGCGGACUUGGUGUUGGGGUGGCUUUGAGCUGCUCCAGUGCCGAAGGGAAGCUGUUAAGUCCGCCGCCUGGGAAGUACGGUCGCAAGACUGAAACUUAAAGGAAUU